CACGCCCGAUCCACCCCUUCGCCCCCGCCGGACAUCCAUUCCUGAGCCGCGGCCGAUCCUAACCUUCGUAGUCGCCCUCGUACAUCAAAGCCGCCGCCCGUCCAUUGUAUGAUCCGCUUCAGGAGACAGCGCCGCGAUCCCGUUUAGGAGACGCCGGCGAUCACAUCCAGGAUCCGACAGCGAUCCCCUUCUGGACACGCACGCCCAUCCCCUGCGCAGGCGCUGAUCCUCGUUGAGGAGCCGCCGAUCACACCCAGGAUCCGACGGCGAUCCCGUUCAGGAGCAGGUGCGUAUGGGGAAUCCACAAAGCAAAGCAGCGGAACGUAUGACAUCGUCAGAUGUACCUCCAGAUCUUGGAUGGGACAAAUGAUGAUGAGAACUACCCAAGUUUGCCAGAACGGGUUUUUUUUGCGGAAUAACCCUCAGAACGGUUGAUACUUGAACCGGCCGAACAAACGGUUGUUCCCCAAUGCACUGACGGUGAUCCGCAUAAUGAGAUUGUGAGUACUGAAGUUGUUGCGGAUCAGAUGGAGGGGACAAACGUUGAUUAUAAUUACCCUAUUAGUCCAAGUAUGAGGUUGUGCGGAGAGAGUACUCAUAAUUUUAUUCUCAUUAUGUGAUGAAUUAUAUCUCUGUUACUUGUAUAAACCAACUUUAGAUCGGUCCAUACCUGAACAGACCGCACAACCGGUUG